UACAGAGGGUGCGAGCGUUGUCCGGAAUCACUGGGCGUAAAGGGCGCGUAGGUGGCUUGCCAAGCGUGUGGUGAAAGCCCGGAGCCCAACUCCGGGUCUGCCAUGCGAACUGGCAGGCUUGAGCACGGUAGAGGCCAAUGGAAUUCCGGGUGUAGCGGUGGAAUGCGUAGAGAUCCGGAAGAACACCGGUGGCGAAGGCGGUUGGCUGGGCCGUAGCUGACACUGAGGCGCGACAGCGUGGGGAGCAAACAGG
rnacentral:rRNA from 1 species